rnacentral:rRNA from 1 species
GGGGAAUAUUGGACAAUGGGCGAAAGCCUGAUCCAGCAAUGCCGCGUGAGUGAUGAAGGCCUUAGGGUUGUAAAGCUCUUUUACCAGGGAUGAUAAUGACAGUACCUGGAGAAUAAGCUCCGGCUAACUCCGUGCCAGCAGCCGCGGUAAUACGGAGGGAGCUAGCGUUGUUCGGAAUUACUGGGCGUAAAGCGUGCGUAGGCGGUUAUUCAAGUCAGAGGUGAAAGCCUGGAGCUCAACUCCAGAACUGCCUUUGAAACUAGAUAACUAGAAUCUUGGAGAGGUGAGUGGAAUUCCGAGUGUAGAGGUGAAAUUCGUAGAUAUUCGGAAGAACACCAGUGGCGAAGGCGACUCACUGGACAAGUAUUGACGCUGAGGUACGAAAGCGUGGGGAGCAAAC